GACAUGCCUCUGUGUGUCCUGAAACUGGGUGAGGGUUUAUCCACUGUCAGCAGGGUAGAAAAGGGUCCCUAGCGCCACCUGCUCUCCUCUUGGAGCCAGGAGCCCCCAGAGGGUGCGCCCCUCCCCAGCCUCUUUCCCAGCUGCACCCCAAGGCCUUUCCAGGUUUCACACUGGGCUUCUGGGUGAAGAGGAAGCCAGCCUCCUCCGCCUCUCACAGAGAGGGACUGGAGAGGGACGUCUUUCCUCCCGCCUGCCCAAGCCCCAGUCCUCCGAGCCUCUGCAGCUGAGUGGGACCAGGCCUUCCUCUGUCCGCCACACAGGGCCCUGGAGACGACACGAACAGCAGCAGCAACCCCGGAACAAUGGAAAGAGAGACAUGUCGUCGAAGGGCUUUCAGCCCCUGUCCAGCCUUUUGUGCCCGGCUUACUGCGAGGAGGCCAGUCUAUUCAGCCCGAGAUUAUCAAAAUCAACUCGAGGCUGUGUCAGGGCAGCUAAACACACUUUGAUUUCAUAAAGACAUAACUGAUCCCACAUGCAAAUUAAUAAUUUCUGACGUUGGGGACUCUGGUGUGAUUUUUUUCCC
rnacentral:lncRNA from 1 species